CCCAGGCCUUGUACACACCGCCCGUCACAUCAUGAAAGCCGGCUGCACCCUAAGUCGUUCCUUAAAAGACGCCGAAGGUAUGGCUGGUGAUUGGGAUG
rnacentral:rRNA from 1 species